rnacentral:rRNA from 1 species
UGGGGAAUUUUGGACAAUGGGGGAAACCCUGAUCCAGCCAUCCCGCGUGUGCGAUGAAGGCCUUCGGGUUGUAAAGCACUUUUGGCAGGAAAGAAACGUCGCGGGUUAAUACCCCGCGAAACUGACGGUACCUGCAGAAUAAGCACCGGCUAACUACGUGCCAGCAGCCGCGGUAAUACGUAGGGUGCAAGCGUUAAUCGGAAUUACUGGGCGUAAAGCGUGCGCAGGCGGUUCGGAAAGAAAGAUGUGAAAUCCCAGAGCUUAACUUUGGAACUGCAUUUUUAACUACCGGGCUAGAGUGUGUCAGAGGGAGGUGGAAUUCCGCGUGUAGCAGUGAAAUGCGUAGAUAUGCGGAGGAACACCGAUGGCGAAGGCAGCCUCCUGGGAUAACACUGACGCUCAUGCACGAAAGCGUGGGGAGCAAACAGGAUUAGAUACCCUGGUAGUCCACGCCCUAAACGAUGUCAACUAGCUGUUGGGGCCUUCGGGCCUUGGUAGCGCAGCUAACGCGUGAAGUUGGGCCGCCUGGGGAGUACGGUCGCAAGA